rnacentral:rRNA from 1 species
CCUACGGGUGGCAGCAGUGGGGAAUAUUGGACAAUGGGGGGAACCCUGAUCCAGCCAUGCCGCGUGUGUGAAGAAGGCCCUCGGGUUGUAAAGCACUUUCAGUGAGGAAGAACGCCUGGUGGUUAAUACCCAUCAGGAAAGACAUCACUCACAGAAGAAGCACCGGCCAACUCCGUGCCAGCAGCCGCGGUAAUACGGAGGGUGCGAGCGUUAAUCGGAAUUACUGGGCGUAAAGCGCGCGUAGGUGUCUUGAUAAGCCGGUUGUGAAAGCCCCGGGCUCAACCUGGGAACGGCAUCCGGAACUGUCAAGCUAGAGUGCAGGAGAGGAAGGUAGAAGUCCCGGUGUAGCGGUGAAAUGCGUAGAGAUCGGGAGGAAUACCAGUGGCGAAGGCGGCCUUCUGGACUGAAACUGACACUGAGGUGCGAAAGCGUGGGUAGCAAACAGGAUUAGAUACCCGGGUAGUC